AACUGUAAAAGGCAAACAGUCCGAAAGGGCUGGGCGCAAAACCACGGGCCUAAGGCAUUGCUGCUAUGGUCGCCUGGUUGCCAGU
rnacentral:ncRNA from 1 species